UUCAGCGAAAGGUUCACCUUUACAACGUCACUUUUGGGCUUUUUAUGCUGGAUUGGUGGGAACGUUGCUCAUUCAAUAUUUUGGUGAUUGUACUAAUGUGUUUUGUAGUGCGGUACAUUACCCAGUUCUUCAAGAGGUAUAUAUUGUGUAUUAUUUAAAUGUCACAUAUCUCUGGUAGAAGCAAAAUCAUUCUCAUGUGAAGAUGCCAAUGUAGAUCUUCACUUGAGGAUUUAAAUUAGUUGCAGCAGUUGUGUGUUUGGUAUAAGCUGAAGCUGACUCAAAAACAUCUUGUAGCAGUUUGAUAUGGACCAACUUGAGAAUUUCUUAAUAUUUAUUAUUCCCUCCGGUUCAUUGUGUAAGUGAUGUAUCUAGUCUAUAUUUAUAACGAGAUGCAUUAAUUAUUUAAUGAACCUAAAAAGUCAAUUGCUUAUAAGCCUGUUUUGGAUGUUGAUUGGCAUUUUUGACAUUGUAAUUAUUAUUGGUAAUUUUCAUUAUUAAAUGUUUUAAACUUUGAAAUUAUUAGUUGACUA